UUGGGGUUCCGAAGAACAAGCAGACGGACGGUCUAGCCGACACGCGCGCUGCAAGCAAGUAGCAAUGGCUAAACUUCAAUCUAUCAAAACCCCCAGAAACCCUGAAGGGGUACCUAACUACUUAUAGAGGUGGGAGGACGACCAAGAGGGUCCAAGGGUCGUGCUCCACCAGAUUGGGGCGCACCCCACAUGGGCCCCACAUGGGCCAGGGUCCCAAACAAAGUUACAAGCCCAUUGGCCCAAUACAGGAGACGCAGCACCUUGCUUUUGUGAUUGCGGCCAAACGAGAUAGAUUUCCGAGAUGAGGCUGGAUCCGUUGGAAGGAGGACUUCGAGAGCUUUCCAUCAAGUACUCACGGGCCCAAAACGGAGCACGUAUGUAGAUUUGGCGGCCGUUUGAAGUCAGCAAUGUAACACGUGGCCGAAUCAGAUUGCAGCACAUGAAGGACUUGAUCUUGAUGUCUUCUUGUUGAUUCAUGAUGUGAGCAAUGGUCGUAUCCAUAGUAGCCAUGGUCACAUCAUCCUCCCCUUCUUCACAGAAAACCGUCCUCGGUUUUUCCAUAUGGUGCUCUUCGCGCAGUCCACUGAAAACAACCUGUUUCUUGCAAUCAAAACAAGACAAACUCGAGACAAUAUGAUUAGCAGUAACAUGUCUCUCUAGCUUGCAUAUUUUAUCCGGAACUACAAGAUGUUCUAAAUCUGAACAAAUGUAAACUCUAUGCACCAAAAAUAUUCCUCUAUCAUUAUAUUCGCCAAAGAUAUGAAAAAUAGCAUUAGUUGGACAUGGCAAAUCAGAUUUAGCAAAUAAUUUCUCCUUCAAAUUAUCGAGCUCACCAAAAUCAUCAAACUGAAAAUAGCCCAAAGUAUUUAAAGAAGAUAGCAAUUCGCGUUCCUCUACUUCAUUAGCAAUGUGAACAACAUGCUUAGAAUCAGCACACAAAGAAAUAGUAGAACUAACAUGUUCAUUCACUAGUUGUGGCAUGGAUAUAAGUGAAACAUUAUCACACAACUCUUCUUUAUCACAAGGAACAGCAAGUAAAUCAACUUGUGACAAAGGCAACUCAGUAAUUGAUUCCACUAAUGGUUGCUCUACUAUAGCAUGAAAAGUGGACAAGUGUAGCUCACCUUGAGAAUACUCACCUUCAUUUCUCUCAGCACCAUUUAAUUUACCUUGCGAACUUUCUUCAGAUAAUGUAGCUGCAUCAGCCUUCUCCUCAUUCGCGAGUGAUGGAAGUGACAUCUCAAACAUAUCGUUCUUCUCAUUUUGGAGACUUUUCUGAACUUCCUGCAAAACAUCAGUGAUAGGAGGCACAAGCAUAUCUUGUUGCUCCAUUGGAUUCUCCAAAAUUUUGCGCUCAACAAUGCAAGCAAGCAUGAACAAUUGGCCUAUAUGAUUAUAUGUCACAUUAACAAGCCCAGCCUGAAUAUUGAAAUUAAGCCCUCUGAAAAAUCUAGUCAUUGUGUUCUCAUUAGAUUCUUGUAAACCACUAUAAGUGAUACAAAUUUUAAAAUCAUAAAAGUACUCCCUAACAGUUUUGUCACCUUGUUUUAGAUGUUCCCAUUUCUCAAGGAGAGCACGUCUAUAGUAUGAAAACACAAAUCUUUUUCUCAUCAGUAUUUUGCAUUCAUCCCAAGUUUCAAGCUUAUUCCCCACAGUAUGCCACCAAAAAGAUGCAGAACCGGUACACUUAUUACUAGCAGCCUUAAUCAUUUGAGCAUUAGAAAAAUCAUACUCAUCAAAUUGUUUUUCUACUGCUAGCUCCCAAUUAAUGUAUGCAGCGGAAUCAUACUUUCCAUCAUAGACUGGUAACUUACAUGCAACUUGUGCAAAAUUAUAGUCAUGUACCUCAUAUGCAUCACGUGAAGAAGUCGUCAUAUCUCGUCGAAGGUGUAGAUGUUGACGUUGAGCAUGACCAUCUUGUUUCCCCUUGCGCAAUCCUGCCAUGGUUAGCAGCAAACAAGAAACAUACACAAGAAUAUACACGCUCCUAUCAACUACUAGGUACUGGCAGCUCAAAUCUCACACACACUCAAGCUUUUAACCAAGCUCUUACAAGAUCUUACCAAUGCAAGUGGAAUGGUGAUGUACACCGACUCAACCAAGCACCCCAAUAGAGGUUGGAUAUAUCGAUGCCUCGGCAAACACUUGCUGUACGGCUGCAAUCAAAUCUGUGGAGCUCUGGGUAGGCUUAAAUAUGUAGCAAAGGAAUAGCAAAUGCUCAAAUCAGAGAACGCAAAGUUGAAUAAUUGUUCAAAGUCAAGUACCGUGCUGGUCCUAGGCUAGAACGUACUAGAGACGCGAGCCUAGACACAAACGGUACCACAAAAUAGCACCAGAAACAACUCAAGCACACUCUGAUGUAUGAAGUUCAGCUCAAACAAAACAAUAUUUUCUCUUUUCUUUCUUUCUUCUUUCUUCUUUUCUUUUUUUUUUUCCUUUUCUUUUCUGAUUUUUUUUGGUGCGGCUUUUUUUUUCUUUUAUUUUUUGCACCUUUCUGCCUUUUUUUUUCUCACUUUUUUUUCUUAUUUUUUUUAACAAAAACUGACUCAAGGACCUUAAUGUAAGAUUACAGGGACUCAAACAUAAAUAUAAAAUUUAUAGGGACUCAAAUGUAAAAGUCUAAACCCAAAAUUAAAAUUAUACAAAAAAUGGAAUGCUGAAUUUAUGCCGGUUCCGUUUUUCCAAACAGAUCUCGAAACCGACACCAAACAAAAAUUUGCCAAGGUGUUUGACACAACUCGGAACGGUGGAAGAGAGGGAGGGAGUCGGACUCGGCCAAAGGGGCGAGUGGGACUCGGCCAGGAGGUGGAGUGGAUGGCAGCCGAAUUUGGUGUAUGGGAUAAAAAGGAAACUGAUUUUUAACCAAUCCAAUCUACUAUAUCUUUCCAAAACAAACUUGACUACUUCCAAAAUCAGAUAUGGUAAUUCACCUUCCUCCUCUCGUGCACGACACAGGCACGGCCAAAAUAAACACACACAAGGAUCGGCAAACUCUAGAUGCAACUCAAGAACUCCAAAACUAACCGACAGAAACUUCUGAAAACUACAAAAAUAGAACCGUGGCAGCGAGCCGAUUCCGUUUUCGUAGGUCCCGACAACAACAGAGACACGGUGGCAGCGACGACUGUGGUACAAAACGUGACCAGAACUCGAAACUCUAAACGAACUAGACGCUAAGACCAGCAACACGACGUGACAAUGCAACACAAAAUUCAACAAAGCAAAAACUGAAAAGAACAAUGCAAUGGCACAAUAUGGCUAGGUAAAUGAUACGAAUUUUUUUUGUAUGGCUAUUUUCUGGUUAUAGGAAGAUAAAAACUCACCGAGCAACGAAAGCUCUGAUACCACCUGAUGAACCCUGAGUUCCUCUCGACACUCAAGGCUGUUGUUGGCCCGAUCUUUCGGUGAGUUGAGAUAACUACGAUUUGGGAGAAACGUUGACGAUCCGACUACAACCGUACGAGACGUUGUGUUGCGCCUUAGCGAUCGAUACACCUCUCCGUGGGUUGUUGAUCUUGCCGGUGCAGAUCAACCCUAUUCCUGCAAGCAAAUCGAAGAAACAAGCAAGAACAAGAUAAAAGCAAUCUGAUAUUGCAAAUAGGAAUUUAAUACAAAUGAUAAGUUGGGGUUCCGAAGAACAAGCAGACGGACGGUCUAGCCGACACGCGCGCUGCAAGCAAGUAGCAAUGGCUAAACUUCAAUCUAUCAAAACCCCCAGAAACCCUGAAGGGGUACCUAACUACUUAUAGAGGUGGGAGGACGACCAAGAGGGUCCAAGGGUCGUGCUCCACCAGAUUGGGGCGCACCCCACAUGGGCCCCACAUGGGCCAGGGUCCCAAACA
rnacentral:lncRNA from 1 species